rnacentral:rRNA from 1 species
UACGAAGGGGGCUAGCGUUGCUCGGAUUGACUGGGCGUAAAGGGCGCGUAGGCGGUUCGUACAGUCAGACGUGAAAUUCCUGGGCUCAACCUGGGGGCUGCGUUUGAUACGUGCGGACUUGAGUGCGGAAGAGGGUCGUGGAAUUCCCAGUGUAGAGGUGAAAUUCGUAGAUAUUGGGAAGAACACCGGUGGCGAAGGCGGCUCUCUGGGACGGUACUGACGCUGAGACGCGAAAGCGUGGGGAGCGAACAGG